rnacentral:misc_RNA from 1 species
AUGAGAACGUAGCGAAAUGCGAUACGUAAUGUGAAUUGCAAAUUCAGUGAAUCAUCGAGUCUUUGAACGCACAUUGCGCCCCCUGGUAUUCCGGGGGGCAUGCCUGUCCGAGCGUCAUUGCUGCCCUCAAGCACGGCUUGUGUGUUGGGCCCCGUCCUCCGAUUCCGGGGGACGGGCCCGAAAGGCAGCGGCGGCACCGCGUCCGGUCCUCGAGCGUAUGGGGCUUUGUCACCCGCUCUGUAGGCCCGGCCGGCGCUUGCCGAUCAACCCAAAUUUUUAUCCAGGUUGACCUCGGAUCAGGUAGGGAUACCCGCUGAACUUAAGCAUAUCAUAAGCGGAGGA